ensembl:lncRNA
UUCACUUUCAUGCAUUGGAGAAAGAAAUGUCAACCCACUCCAGUGUUCUUGCCUGGAGAAUCCCAGGGACAGGGGAGCCUGGUGGGCUGCCAUCUAUGGGGUGGCACAGAGUCGGACACGACUGAAGCGACUUAGCAGCAGCAGCAGAAACAAUCCAUAUCAGAUUCUGUCAGGUUCUAAAGGGCUAGAAGAAAGAAAAAAAACACAUUGCUUACUCAUUAAGCAUUUAUUUAGCACCAACUGCAUGCUAGGUUUGCACUGAUCACUGGAAGACAGAGGCCAGACAAGCCUAUGGACAUUGAAAGUGCCUCUCUCUCUCCUAGCUCCUGUUUCUCAUUCUUCCUGUCUAUUCCACUUACCUGUGCACUUUGCAGGUUAUACAGACACUCAGAUCCUGCCGUAUGGAAUCCAGCAUUUCACCUUCUCUAACGGGAUCCUUCAUAGAAUGUGAUGCUUAGACCCCAUGCUCAAAGGAGAGGAAAAUGCCCCAGCUGGCCUACUGGUCCUAAUAUGAUGACAGACACACAAUGAAGAAUUGCCUGACCAAUCAGCAGACUUGCAGCUUGGACCCUCCCAGCCUAACCCAGAAUUAGAGAGUAUGAUGAACAAUUCUGUGGCUUCCCCAAUGGCUCAGUGAGUGAUUGUACUUCUAAAACACUGCCUGGGCUCUGGGAGAGAGAGGAUGACCCUAGAAGGAGGAAGACCUCGGCUUCAGACAAAUCUUUCAGUCCAGCACCUGGGAGACCUUGGCGAAUGACUUCAUUUUCUUAUAUAGAAAGAGAAGAGUCUUCUCACAGUGUGUUCCAUGAAACACCACUUGUGAACAGUGUUCCAUUUUGUAAAAAGAUUCUGCAGUCAAGUAAGUCCAGCUUGGCAAGUUUCCCUUGCCCUAUACCCCCUCUUGGAAAUUUACAGUGUACAUGAGCAAAUUAAAGUCUCUUGAGAAGUCCUAUAGUAAAGAAACUCUGCUUGAAUUCAAUCUGUCCCGAACAUUCUUGAGCAUAGAAUAAUAUUUUUCGUAAAAUAUGAAAGUGUGUUCCAAGGAACCCACAUUGAGAGAACUCAGAAAUUUCAUGUAAACUCUGACAGAGUAAAAGCAGGUCUACUCGUGCACACUGCUCCUGGUACAGAGUAAACUGCUGCUGCUGCUGGGGCUAAGUCGCUUCAGUCGUGUCCGACUCUGUGCGACCCCAUAGACGGCAGCCCACCAGGCUCCGCCGUCCCUGGGAUUCUCCAGGCAAGAACACUGGAGUGGGUUGCCAUUUCCUUCUCCAAUGCAGGAAAGUGAAAAGUGAAAGUGACGUCGCUCAGUCGUGUCCGACUCCUCGAGACCCCGUGGACUGCAGCCCACCAGGCUCCUCUGUCCAUGGGAUUUUCCAGGCAAGAGUACUGGAGUCGGGUGCCAUUGCCUUCAACAGAGUAAACUAGGGGCUGCCAAACUGUGGCCAGUUUGCCAAAUCUAGUCCAUGAGCUACGUAUGUUUUCACAUUUUAAGUGACUGAAAAAAAUUAAAAGAAGUGAAAAUUAUAUGAAAUUCAAAUUCAGCAUUCUGAAUUUUAAAGUAUAGCCAUACCCACCUGUUUAUGUAUCUUCUGUAACUGCUUUUGAACUACAGUGGCAGAGUUGAAGAGUUGUGCCAAAGACUGCAAUGGCCCGCAAAGCUUAGAUACCUCCCUCUCUGGCCCCU